UGCAAGGGCACUCUGUGGUGUCAUACUCAAUAUGACAUUUACAAUUUGUUACCUUGCUAAAACAAUUCUGCUGAACCCUAUUCCAUAUAGCUGGUGUAGCUAGCUGGUCAUUGU